GGGGGCAUAGCUCAGAGGUAGAGCGCCCGCUUCGCAUGCGGGAAGUCCGGGGUUCAAUCCCCCGUGCCUCCA
rfam:Caenorhabditis elegans chromosome V